rnacentral:rRNA from 1 species
GACGAACGCUGGCGGCGUGCUUAACACAUGCAAGUCGAACGGAAAGGCCCUUCUUUUUUGGGGUGCUCGAGUGGCGAACGGGUGAGUAACACGUGAGUAACCUGCCCUUGACUUUGGGAUAACUUCAGGAAACUGGGGCUAAUACCGGAUAGGAGCUCCUGCUGCAUGGUGGGGGUUGGAAAGUUUCGGCGGUUGGGGAUGGACUCGCGGCUUAUCAGCUUGUUGGUGGGGUAGUGGCGUACCACGGCGUUGACGGGUAGCCGGCCUGAGAGGGUGACUGGCUACAUUGGGACGGAGAUGCGGCCCAGACUCCUACGGGAGGCAGCAGUGGUGAAUAUUGCACAAUGGGCGGAAGCCUGAUGCAGCAACGCCGCGUGCGGGAUAACGGCCUUCGGGUUGUAAACCGCUUUCGCCUGUGACGAAGCGUGAGUGACGGCAAUGGGUAAAGAAGCACCGGCUAACUACGUG